GACGAACGCUGGCGGCGUGCCUAAUACAUGCAAGUAGAACGCUGAAGGAGGAGCUUGCUUCUCUGGAUGAGUUGCGAACGGGUGAGUAACGCGUAGGUAACCUGCCUGGUAGCGGGGGAUAACUAUUGGAAACGAUAGCUAAUACCGCAUAAUAGUAGAUGUUGCAUGACAUUUGCCUAAAAGGUGCAAUUGCAUCACUACCAGAUGGACCUGCGUUGUAUUAGCUAGUUGGUGGGGUAACGGCUCACCAAGGCGACGAUACAUAGUCGACCUGAGAGGGUGAUCGGCCACCCUGGGACUGAGACACGGCCCAGACUCCUACGGGAGGCAGCAGUAGGGAAUCUUCGGCAAUGGACGGAAGUCUGACCGAGCAACGCCGCGUGAGUGAAGAAGGUUUUCGGAUCGUAAAGCUCUGUUGUAAGAGAAGAACGAGUGUGAGAGUGGAAAGUUCACACUGUGACGGUAUCUUACCAGAAAGGGACGGCUAACUACGUG
rnacentral:rRNA from 1 species